rnacentral:rRNA from 1 species
AGAGUUUGAUCAUGGCUCAGAACGAACGCUGGCGGCAGGCUUAACACAUGCAAGUCGAACGGUUGUAGCAAUACAGCAGUGGCAGACGGGUGAGUAACACGUGGGAACCUUCCUAGGGGUACGGAACAACUCAGGGAAACUUGAGCUAAUACCGUAUACGUCCGUGAGGAGAAAGUUUUAACGCCCCUAGACGGGCCCGCGUAGGAUUAGGUAGUUGGUGAGGUAACGGCUCACCAAGCCUACGAUCCUUAGCUGAUCUGAGAGGAUGAUCAGCCACACUGGGACUGAGACACGGCCCAGACUCCUACGGGAGGCAGCAGUGGGGAAUCUUGGACAAUGGGCGCAAGCCUGAUCCAGCCAUGCCGCGUGAGUGAAGAAGGCCUUCGGGUUGUAAAGCUCUUUUACCAGGGACGAUAAUGACGGUACCUGAGAAUAGCCC